rnacentral:tRNA from 2 species
GGAGGCGUGGCUGAGUGGUCUAAAGCGGCACGGUGCUAACGUGUUGACCGGGUAAAACUGGUCCGCUGGUUCGAAUCCAGCCGCCUCCGCCA